AGAGGAGGAGCUACUGAUUUCCAGCUGCAAGGUUGAAAUAAAACCAGCAAAAGUGCAAGCCAAGGGUUCAGUUUCCCAAUAGCUGCAGCUGUCUAGCACCCGGAGCUAUUUUUAAACUCCUUUUCAGAACUUCCAGUGCUUGCGAUGGAUCUAUUUUCUUAACUGCCAAGAGAUAAUGCUUAAAAGGGAUAGCUUGAAAAUAUUCCACGGCGCUCAUACAAAUGACUGAAAUAGAUAGUGUACAAGACGGCCUUUGUCUGGAGCAGCAGAGGAAAGCAAGAUGAAGUCUUUCAGACCCCAGGACCAUGGUGCUGCUGGAUCUGCUGCUGACAACCGUGGCUUUGUGUCUUGAAUGUGCACUGUGACCAGAAAAGGCAAGAAAACCAAACAGUAAUUGUAAAGAACAUCAGAGACCUGGCAUUUAAAUUGGUCAUUGAUUCCAGGAAACAGGAGACCCCAAAAUAGCUCCCAAAGAAUCCCCCUUGACUUGAAGAGUGCUGCCUUAUCUGGUAAACCUGUCCAAACUGUCUAAAGUGAACUUGUCUUUUGCCCCUUUCCUGAACUCCAUCUAGAUUUCACUGCCUCAUUUGACAGAACGACCAGUCAUGCAGUCAUUUGUGUUACAAAUUUAAGAAUCAUCCCAACUCUGCUUUCUUCACCUCCCACAUCCUAUAAAGUCUUACUAAUAUUGUCUCCUAUUUCUCAGAUCAUGCUCUUUUAAUAGCCCCACAACCACUGCCCUGACUCAGUGUUUCAUCAUCCCUCAUCUGGAUUUUUGCAAGAGCAUCUAAACCAAUCUCCCUGUGUCUAUUUUGGAUCCCCGUCACAAGGAUUGACACAAUUUUUUUUUUUUAAUUUUAAAUCUUAUUAUGUAGCUCUUGCUUGGGCUCCUCUGGUGUUUCCUAAUUGCCCUCAGCAGACAGUCCAGGCUCUUUAGUGUGACACCUCCAUCACCUGUAACUGACACCUCUUCAGCCUUAGCCCUUCUUUUUUUUUUUUUUUUUUUUUUUUGAGACGGAGUCUCGCUUUUUUGCCCAGGCCGGACUGCAGUGGCGCUAUCUCGGCUCACUGCAAGCUCCGCCUCCCGGGUU
rnacentral:lncRNA from 10 species